UUAAGUUAGGGUUUUUCAAAAUGCUGACACGCCGAGCUCAAAAGGUUCGCCAUCACUGCACUAGGGUGUCUAGAGAUGAGUCACAUUGUGACAUUGGGUGACAACAUUGGUCCAGGGAAAACCAGAGUUCAGUACUGUAUCAUACAAAUGUCUAGAAACUUAAUUUGCUUCCCUUUUAUGACUUCCUUCUAUUUAAGGAAGUUUUCUAAACCUCCAAUUCUCAAAACAAAGACCGAAGUAAACUUGAUUUUCAUCUUUUUGCAUCCACCUCGCCUUCUCUCUAGCAGGCUUGAUCCGUAGGUCCUCCUCAUCCCAUGUCAUGCCGCCUUGGGAACUCGGGGUUAUUACUGUGUGCGGUUAGCAUGAUCCAAAGGUACAGAAUGGAUCUUGAAGGAAAGGCUGGUUGCUGGGCCUCCAAAGGAACCCCAGGUAGACAUCAAGAACCUUUGACCUCCUGACCUCUGGGGUUUACUGUUGGCAGAAAGCAGACAUUGAGUGGAUCAAGAUAAAUCCAGGAGUGGGGAAAUGAUUGAAGUGAUGUGCACAUUUCUCCUAAGUGCCUGUGCUCACAUGGCUGAAUAGACAUAGAAUCCGGAGAACGGAGAAGGUCAGGGACCCUGUGUGCCACUGGUCAGAAAGUAGAUUGAUUAUAGUCGGAUCUCCCCCUUGGCUUCAUUCAGUCUGUCUUUCUGGCCCAUGGAGUUGAAAUACAAGGCCUCUUGGGAAAGACUGACCCUGUAUUUUCCUGUUAAAGCAUAAUAAAUUUUGUAGGCUUCCUAUCCGGAGAAGGAAAAUAAAGUUCUUUAAAUCAAAACAAACAAACAAAACACCCUUGAUUUUCAUUCUGUGAGGAGAAGUGUAACAGAAGGGUUUACAUAGUUCCUGCCUAAACUAAAGACAAACCCCGGUUUCCCUUCAAUCUUCCAUCUUUGGAAAGUGGCCUUUACGGUGGCAAUGUAAGGAAGAAUUUAUUUCUCGCUGAAUGUGUAAAGUUAAUGGACUGUUCUGCCAUAGUGUCCCUAUCAAGGUCAAGGCAAAAUCUUAGGACGAUUCUACUGGCAUUAGACACCUGGAAUGAAGACGUCAGUCCUGAGUCUGGGAAGCCAAACUGAGGAAGAUGCCAUUGUCUGUAAAAAAAGGAAACUGAAUUUGAAUACGUAUCUCUCUCUGGCCUAGAUUCAGAGGCAUCCUGGCGUUCUUGUGGACUCUUCUGAAUGCUUUGUGGAAUCCGGUAUUGCACGUACCAAGGGUCUGAAGAAGUUCAAGUCGGACCACCCUGUGUUGAACAAUGAAGGUGGGCCACCUAGAUCCCUACAAGGAAGACUUCGUUGCACCAGCUGCUGGGCGUGCCGUCCAUGGACAGUCUGCACUGUCAGUCACUUCAUGGGUUGCCUCA